UUCUACUGUCUGAAAUUGUCUCAUAUGAGGAUAUUUUCCCGUUUGUUGAUGAGGGUGUCAUAUAACAGUUUGUAGUACUAAACAAGCUGUCCCCAGGAUGUUGUGUCAAUAUUCAUGUUUCUGUCUUACUUUCAGACUAACCUUGCAACAUUUUUGGAGGCCACUGACCGCUUCGCUGUUUCAAACACGUAUUUCGACAUCUAGAGCUUUGUCUUGCCACCUAAUGUAGCAGUCUGCAGAGUUUUACGGUACGAAAAUAAUUCAUCCGUCUUGUGUUUGCUGUACUUAUUUUAUCGACCUCCAAAGGAUGAAAGACAAAGUCAACCUCGGCGGAAUUUCAACACAGGAAAACAUGAAAUCCCUCUAAGCACUUUGCCCAGCGUGCUAACGUUUCUUAUUUCUUUAUUGCCCACAAGGGGCUAAAUAUAGAAGGGACAAACAAGGACAGUCGAAGGGAUUAAGUCGAUUACAUCGACCCAGUGCGUAA